rnacentral:misc_RNA from 1 species
AAAGUCGUAACAAGGUUUCCGUAGGUGAACCUGCGGAAGGAUCAUUACCAUAAUAAAAAUACUUCAACCCAUGUGCACGAUGAAUAAAAUGUCUUGGUUUUUGGGGUAAGCAUCAAGUUUAUCCCGACCAAUUUCUUUAAACUACUUUUAAAUUAGCUUGGCAUUGUAAUAUGUAAUAUUAAAAAUGACAACUUUUAACGGUGGAUCUCUUGGCUCGU